GAUAAACGCUGGCGGCGUGCUUAACACAUGCAAGUCGAACGGACUGAUGAGAGAGCUUGCUCUUUCUGAAAGUUAGUGGCGGACGGGUGAGUAACGCGUGGGAAACCUGCCUUACACUGGGGGAUAACAGAUGGAAACGCCUGUUAAUACCGCAUAAGCGCACGGUGCUGCAUGGCACCGUGUGAAAAACUCCGGUGGUGUAAGAUGGUCCCGCGUCUGAUUAGCUAGUUGGUGAGGUAACGGCCCACCAAGGCGACGAUCAGUAGCCGGCCUGAGAGGGCGUACGGCCACAUUGGGACUGAGACACGGCCCAAACUCCUACGGGAGGCAGCAGUGGGGAAUAUUGCACAAUGGGGGAAACCCUGAUGCAGCGACGCCGCGUGAGUGAAGAAGAUUUCGGUAUGUAAAGCUCUAUCAGCAGGAAAGAUAAUGACGGUACCUGACUAAGAAGCAACCGGCUAAAUACGUGCCAGC
rnacentral:rRNA from 1 species